UGUUUUGUGUUCAUUAGUAAAGUAAUC
rnacentral:sRNA from 1 species